AUUCAAUCAAGCCCAAGAUAAUUUUCAAGGUCCUGAAGCAGCUGAGUGCAACUGGUCUGAGGUCUGUUCAGCUUCAUCAUGAGACAUGAUAAAGAUAAUUCUGAAGUAACAUGUUCAUCAUGAAGUAAGAAGGAGAGCUAAAAUUGCUUCAGUUGAUAUUUGGAGAGAUUGAAGUGCCUAUCGAACAGACAAGAAGAAGCAUCAAACUCACGUAAUCCUCCAUAUCAGAGCUUGCCAAAUGUGGUCAUGUGUGUUUCCACACUCACCCGCAUCUCCCCAUACAUGUCCAGGACCUCAUCCCUUAGCUUAAACCGUUCUUCCUGUUCAACGUCUCUGAAGCUGAGGAUUCG